AGGGGCCUACGGGGGGCAGCAGUGAGGAAUAUUGGUCAAUGGGCUUACGCCUGAACCAGCCAAGUCGCGUGAGGGAAGACUGCUCUAUGGGUUGUAAACCUCUUUUGUCAGGGAGCAACGCCGACUACGUGUAGCCGGACUGAGAGUACCUGAAGAAAAAGCAUCGGCUAACUCCGUGCCAGCAGCCGCGGUAAUACGGAGGAUGCGAGCGUUAUCCGGAUUUAUUGGGUUUAAAGGGUGCGUAGGCGGAAUGCCAAGUCAGCGGUAAAAUCGCGGGGCUCAACCCCGCUCCGCCGUUGAAACUG
rnacentral:rRNA from 1 species